UAGUAAGUAUCUAUAAUGCUUAAUACAACAUACAUUUUUUUAUACUCGAUUACUUUGCAAGGACGUGAACACAUAAUACAACGCAAUUAACCUAAAUACUUUUGUACUACUAUAAAUCUAUAUAUUUGAAUUGUUUUUUUGGCAACGUUUAUCUAAAAUUUAGAAUAUAUAUUAUAUAAAGCUAAGUAUCCACAUUCAACCCAAAGUUGGAUUUCAAUUUUAUCAAAAAUAAAUAAAUGUUUAAUGUGGAUGGAUCUUUCAUUGGAUUAGUGACAACGAACUGAACUACCGAUGACGGUGACGUUACGAUUUAUUAUUGAUAUUCAACGUAAUAACUUUUUUUAUGGAUCCGUAGAAAACUCAAUGGAUCGAAUAUCAAACAAUGCCGUAUUAUAGACGUUUGGGCAAUAAUUAAUCAUUUUACUCAGAAUAUGAAGAAGGACAACCGCUAAGCGGAAAUUACAAUUGAGUUUAUUACCAGACACACCAAGGGAGUUAUCAUUUCAGGGUGACGCAUAUAUUUUGAAAUAGUUUAUUUUACUGAAAAAAAACGUACUGGGAUAUAAACGAGCGCGCAUCUGCUUUUAGUCUGAACAACUUGUGGAUAACUAACCUAACCUAUAUAUUUUCGCACGGAAUUGUUUAUCAAAUGCAAUAAUUGUCACAUUUAAUUUCAAAAUAAUAACCCACCUGCGUAAAAUUCUGCUGUGCCAAGAUGAUAACUAAUAUCGAACGGAGACAUCUACACACAUUAUUUAAUCCAAAAGAACGCAUUCGUGCAAGCGUCCUGAAACCUGGAACUGUGCUCAGUUUGUCAUUAUAAUAUAUUCGACUUACACUCAGGAGCGUCUUCGGGGGAGGAGUUCAGUGAGAAAUUUGUCUCCCCCCCAUGAGCUCGUUUUUGAUAAAUAAUAUAUGUAUAGUGUAUAAUUACAUUAAACUACUCCACCCAAAAAAAAUUAUUGACCUUGUAGGAGGAACGGCACUGAUAUAUUUAAAUUUACUAUUGAAAAUCAAUCAAAAUUUACUUUAUCAUGCAGAAAUGCAGUCUGUUUUAUAAUUUUUACCACUAGCCUAAUUCAAAGCUUAUGUCAAGAAUAGUAAAAUGUGUGUGAUGCAUAUAGUGAACGUUUAAUAACCCAAUUCUUAGUCUGUUCAAAUUUCGUAUACCUAUUCGUAUAACUUCUUAAAACAUCGAAC